rnacentral:rRNA from 1 species
UAAAGGCUUGUAUGAAUGGUCGGAUGAGAUAUAGUCUAUUUUUGUUUUAUAUUAAAUGAAUUUUAAUUUUAAGUAAAAAUGCUUAAAUAAAAAAAAAAGACGAGAAGACCCUAUAAAUCUUGAUUUUAUUUAGUAUUUAAAAUAUUUUGAAAAUUUUAUUAGAUUUAUUAAAUAAAAUUUUAUUGGGGUGAUAGCGAAAUUUGGUAAACUUUUGUUUUUUGUUUACAAUUAUAAUUGUUUAAUUGAUCCAUUAAUAAUGAUUAAAAGAUUAAGUUACUUUAGGGAUAACAGCGUAAUUAUUUUAAAGA